UUAUAUUACUUUCUUAAUCUUUCUAAUUCUAUUCUCAUAAGAUGAUCUUGGAUUUGUUCCUUUAGCACAGACUCUUUAGUGCAGUCCUGAUUUCUGUAUUAAUGAAUUGAGAAGAUGACAUCAGGCUCUUAGCACUGCAGAGUUUUCCCUGCCAGCCUGGCUGAUCUGCAGCACAAGAAGCUCUCUGUGAUGGUAAUUGACAGUGAUCUUUGUCAGCCCCACACAGGAUCAGGCAUUAAGAGAACAACCCUUGCUGGAUUGCAGAUGCAUAGGUGGUGCUCCAGAUGAAUAUUGUACUACUGGUGCAUAACCUGAAAGCAAAUAUGGAAACGAGUGCUCUUCCAAAGACACUUCACAAAAUCAGAGAGUAUGGUGAACUGGAAGAGACCAACAAGGAUCAUCAAGUCCACUUCUUGGCCCUGCACAGUACGUCCCCAAAGUCACACCAUGUACCUGAGAGCGUUGUCAAAAUGCUUCUUCAGCUCUCUCAGGCUGGUGCUGUGACCACUUCCCAGGGGAGUCCGCGCCAAAGUCCAAGCACUCCCUGGGUGAAGAACCUUCUUUUUAACAUCCAACCUAAACCUUCCUGACACAACUUCAGGCCACGCCUUCAAGUUCUCUCACUGGUCACCACAGGGAAGAGAUCAGUGUCUGCCCCUCCUCUUCCCCUCAUGAGGGAGCUGAAACUGCCAUGAGGGCGCCCCCAGGCUGAACAGGCCAAGUGAUCUCAGCCUCUCCUCACACGGCUUCCCCUCAAGGCCCUUCACCCUUUUUCUGCUCUCCUUUGGAUGUUCCCUAAUAGUUUAAUAUCUUUCUUAUGUUGUGAAAACCAUAGCUUAAUGUAAUAUAGAAAUGAGAGUAGUUAUUUCAGAUUCUUUCAAGAAAAAAUGCUGGGGAUUUUAAGAGGCAAAAGACAGCAGUUUUCAUGUUUACUUUUUUUUUUUUCUAGAGGACUUUUGUCACAACUUACUGUCAUUUUCAAGUUAUGUCACAUUUUGAGGUUUAAAAGUAACAAAAUUACCCUUUGUGAUGGCUUGACAUGAGAAGUCUGAAGCCGGAGAUGAUAUUUAAAUUUUUUUUUCAUGUUGAUUAGUUAUGCAUGUUGUUAUGAAUUCUUCUGUGGAUUGAUUCAAACUGUCUUGAACAUUCACCAACAUACUGAUCAUUAUGUAGGUAACUAGAAAUUAGUUUGUGUGUUAGAAUGGCCAUUUUUGGCUUAUAAACAUUUGAAACACUCCAUGUUUUGUUUUCUUCCUGAGUUCUUCGGCUCCAUAUUGCUCUUCUAUAAUCUUCCUUAAAUCACUGGUGUCAAUGUUGAGGAAGGCUGGAGAGAGAGAAGAAGAAAAAUAUGAAAUGUAAAUAUCAAUUCAGUUGAAGUGAUGUAUCAGACGUAUAUUGAGAUAGUUCCAGAAAUGAAUAUAUUACAUUUAUUUUAAUUCCGUUUCUUAUUUGGACUCACAGAUUUGGAGUGUAGUGGACUUUAAUCCCCAGUGCAUAGGUGGGAAUUCAACCUAAGUGUGAGGACUUUGUCUAGGAAGAUGUGUCUACUCUUAAUGGGCUUGUGUAAUGUGCUUUGGAAGAUCUCUGUUGGACUGAUAUGGGGACAUGGCAGCAGACAUUGAAACUUGAACUCUUGUUGCACCAAGCAAUGAUGAGGGCAUCUGUGAGACUCCCUCUGCAGUAACUCCCCAUACCUCAAAAACUGAGGAUCUUCACACAGACACUGAUAGUUUUAUUCCUUAUUUCUGUAUUUUAGACCUUGUCAACAGAGAACUUUAGUUAAUUCUGAAUGAGACAAAAGCUGCAGAAAACCAAAAGAUCCUCUACAUAAACUCCUAGAGGCAUAAACGUUAUUUAUAACAUGUCAUUCUUAUUUAACUGAGGGAAAUAAGUGCUAAUAAAUGCCCAAAAAAAAAAAGAGAUUAGAAAUGCAUUUAGCACAGUCAGGGAUGAUACUUAUUCAUCAGAAAUACCUAUUAAUUUUUUUUCUAUUUAUUUUCCUUCAUUUUUCAUUGACAUAGUUUCUUAAGAUGCUUUUGAUAUUGAUAGCUCAGGGAGGAGAAAAUGCAUGCAUUAAAGACUCAGAAGUGUUUCUGCAUUUUGAAUUUGCUAGAGAUUUUAUUAAAUAGCACCAUAGCUCAGGACAAGCUGAUGGCAUUUCACAGUCUAUUUCCCCAUAUUCCCUAAAUGCUGAUUUACCAAGAAUGAAAUGAGUGUACACAUACUCUGGAGCAUGUGUUAAAGCUGUACUAAACAUUUUCCAUGUAACUUCCAGCUGGCAACAUUUUGCCAGAAAGCCUGGUACUUAGAAAUGAUAAAUAAAUAAAACAAACAGAAUCAUGUGUUGUAAUAAGGAGACAAUGGAACAGCUGCAGAGCAUGGAGUAAAUUCAGUUUGACUUGAUGUGGACACAGUGGCUGAAUUUUACCCAUGAGAUAUUAGCAACAUUCAGAUUCUUAAGGGGAAGAUUAUGAAGAGAGAAGAAGAUCUCAUUGGGAGGUCUCUUAGCACAUUUGGAAAAAUAAACAGAGAAACUAUGAAAAAUAAUAUUUAAGCAGGAAAAUCAGCAUAAGCUGUUCUCCUGCAGUAUGUUGAAGAAAGAUGAACUUGUCUUGGGAAGAAAAAAAAGUGAACAGAGCUCUGUUUUUUUUUUUUUUUUUUGCUUGAAGAGAUAAAAGGAAGAAGAUGGAGGGGGGAUGUAACUUAGGAAGGUGAACAACAGCCACCAAGUGAAGAAAUGAGAAAUAAUGAUGAUAAGGAAAGCAAAAGCAAAGAUGGUGUAUCAAGGGUGCUUCUAAAGGGUGCUACUAAUUAAAGAAGACACCCCUAAGCUUUUUGAAUUAUAUUUGCAAAGGCAAAAGUAUCAUAUAACACAUAUGCUUCUGUCAUAAACAGCAUUUUCAGUUCUAGCAAAUUUUGAGAGCAGUUCCUCAGCACCAGUAAUAUCUAGUUAUUGUAGUUUUGCAACAGCAAAACUAUAGUAUGUGAGACAUUUAUGUCACUUUUCCUUAACUUUUUGUGGAUGACCCAUCUUCUACUUGUAUUAAUGCACACUGAUUGCUCUUUGCUGGACAUGGUAUAGUAAUAGCUCACUGAGACUUGUAUUAUUGGUGUUGUCUUGUUAUUGAAAGUAAAAUCCUGGGGGUUUUCUCAUACCAGGUAGUUCUAUAAAAUAAGGAUGAACACCCUGACUUUUAUUUAUGCUUUAGGCAUCCACAUUCGGAAACAAUGACCCAUGUAAGGUUUCCACUUUCAGUGGUGAAACUGGAAAAUGGGAUCAAACUUAAUAACUAUGCAUCAAGUAGAUAAAUCACAUUCCUGUAUGUUGAUCUCCUGUUAUUCAACCAGUAGGCAGAACUUUCUGAGCUGGAAAUGGCAGUAGUUUAAGAGAAAGUAAAAUGGGGUCACAUUAAUCGUAGCCUCUGACGUUUUCACUCAAAUGCAUGAAGGAGGCUAAGCAAGAAUUUCUGACAUAACCAUCACCUGGACUUUGGCUUGACUGGGUUGUCAUGAUCAAAUGACUUCUUUUGCCUGGUAUGUGCUCUUCUGCUUUUUACAUCCUUGAUAUCCCAGUUUCUACAUGUGCACAUGCUGACAUCCUCCAGGACACCACAAGGCACAGUGAUAAUUGCACUGCUGAAGCUACCUGCUGUGUUAAAGGUCAGCAGAAGGGCCUCAGCGGUGAAGUGGCACUUGCCUAUCAAAAUGCAAAAUGCCGGGGUGAAAGAAGUAAAACUCAGCUAUUAUACGUUACAAAACUCGAGACAUUCAAAGUCAAGUAUAUCAUUCUCAUGUUCCAAUACCCAGAGAAGAAUGUCACAGCAUGACUCCAUCCUCGUGAUGGAGACUGAAAGAAGAAUGAAAAAUAAUGCAAAGUUAUCUCCUUUUUGUUAAAUCUAUUGUAAUCUUGUGUUCUUCCUCUGUUACUGCACUGAAAUAAAGACAUUUUAAUCCCAGGGUACAAUUGAGAAAAGCCCUGAUCUAAUAAUUGUAAAACCUUCCGAUCCGAUAUUUUAGAACUCAGAGUACUUGUCACUUAUGAAUAUUCAUACAGAACAUUAAAAGAAUUAUAUUCUGUCUGCAGUUAAGGCAGGAAAAGAACAUGGUAAAUUCUAAAGAGACAGCAGUAUUUUAUGGAACACUUGUCAACUAUUAAGGGCUUCCACAACAAAAUUCUUGCAGGAAAAUUGUUUAGGAGAACAGUAUGGAACAGUGAUAACAUCAUUAUAGAACAGAUCUCUUAGAGGCAAAAAACCCAAAUGCAGGAAUUCAUCUCAAGUAUUACAUAUAUUGGAAUUCUUCAAGGUAACCUCUUAAUGUGCAUGUUCAUGAAGGGGUGUCCAUGCUGCUCAGCUGAGACAUUGAAUGCAAAAGGCUGAUACAAACUU